rnacentral:rRNA from 1 species
UGGGGAAUAUUGCACAAUGGGGGAAACCCUGAUGCAGCGACGCCGCGUGAGCGAAGAAGGCCUUCGGGUCGUAAAGCUCUUUUAUGAGGGAAGAUAAUGACGGUACCUCAAGAAAAAGCCCCGGCUAACUACGUGCCAGCAGCCGCGGUAAUACGUAAGGUCCGAGCGUUGUCCGGAAUCAUUGGGCGUAAAGGGUACGUAGGCGGGUAAGCAAGUUAGAAGUGAAAUCCUGUAGCUCAACUACAGUAAGCUUUUAAAACUGCUCAUCUUGAGAUAUGGAAGGGAAAGUGGAAUUCCUAGUGUAGCGGUGAAAUGCGCAGAUAUUAGGAGGAAUACCGGUGGCGAAGGCGACUUUCUGGCCAUAAUCUGACGCUGAGGUACGAAAGCGUGGGUAGCAAACAGG